rnacentral:rRNA from 1 species
UACGGAGGAUCCAAGCGUUAUCCGGAUUCAUUGGGUUUAAAGGGUCCGUAGGCGGAUUUUUAAGUCAGUGGUGAAAGCCGACAGCUCAACUGUCGAACUGCCAUUGAUACUGGAAAUCUUGAGUACAAAUGAAGUAGGCGGAAUGAGUCAUGUAGCGGUGAAAUGCAUAGAUAUGACUCAGAACACCGAUUGCGAAGGCAGCUUACUAACAUGUAACUGACGCUGAGGGACGAAAGCGU